GCAAACUUGGUCAUUUAGAGGAAGUAAAAGUCGUAACAAGGUUUCCGUAGGUGAACCUGCGGAAGGAUCAUUAAUAAAUUCUGAAUGUCUUUCAUUCGAAUUUCCACACUGCGUAUCUGUUCCUGUAAGCUUCCACUAGACAGUGAAGUGUCUUCUUGAUGCUUCCCUUCUGCCUGGACAAUGGUCCGGGUUGGAAGAGUUCUGGUGGCAGCCAACACGAUUAAACCCCUUUGAAUAUCUAUACAAUUGUCUGAUUCUUGUUUUGAAAACAAUCUAUAAAACUUUCAACAAUGGAUCUCUUGGUUCUCGCAUCGAUGAAGAACGCAGC
rnacentral:misc_RNA from 1 species